rnacentral:snRNA from 1 species
GUGCUCACUUCGACAGCACAUAUACUAAAAUUGGAACGAUACAGAGAAGAUUAGCAUGGCCUUUGCGCAAGGAUGACACAUAAAUUUGUGAAGCAUUCCAUAUUUUU